rnacentral:rRNA from 1 species
GUGUCAGCAGCCGCGGUAAGACGGAGGGUGCUAGCGUUGUUCGGAAUCACUGGGCGUAAAGGGCGCGUAGGCGGCAUCAGGUGUCGGAUGUGAAAGCCCGGGGCUCAACCCCGGAGGUGCAUCCGAAACUCUGGCGCUGGAGGUCGGAAGAGGAGGGUGGAAUACCCAGUGUAGAGGUGAAAUUCGUAGAUAUUGGGUGGAACACCGGUGGCGAAAGCGGCUCUCUGGUCCGAACCUGACGCUGAGGCGCGAAAGCGUGGGGAGCAAACAGGAUUAGAUACCCUGGUAGUCC